ensembl:lncRNA
CCUGAAAUGAGUUUGACACCUUACGGUAGAGUAAAUGGAGGAUUUUAGGUCACCUAAAAAGCGGAGAAAACUGUGCCAGCAGGCGAGCAUUCGCGUUUUUUUCAGACAAGAGAGACAGGCAAGAUGAGAGCAGUGGCCAGACAGGGACACGCUCUGGACAUGCAGAUGAUCAGGGACCAUGGGGCUCAAAGCCGUCGAGUCGCACAUGAAAGGAGGAAAGUACCAGCGAUGCGUUGCAGCAGCUAGCCAUAGCGGGGCCAGGUUAAUCCCUGCAACGACGUUACAAGUUCAGACGCCACCCCUCAGUCGGCUGUAACAAGUUUCAUUUCAACACCAGACACCCAAAAGGCAGAGGUACUAUGGGUUCUCCAUACUGUGACGAGGCACAAUUAAUUUAAAUCCAAUGAAGACAUACGUGGCGUCUUUGCUGCCAUGUUCCCCGAUUCGCAAUGCAUUGUGUUGUUUAGUGUAAUAUGUAUGUUAUGUUGGCUCUGUUCUGCAUCACAAAGGAAUCACUUUCAUUGUUUACAUCGAUAUUGGCCAAACAGUAUUGGAAGCGUUAUUGUCAGUUAUUAUACUGUCUCCUAAUUUGAAAAAUAGUUUUGAUUUCCAUUGUAGGAGGCAAUAAAUUGCGUAUUCUUAAAUUAUAUUUGUUGAGGUCUUAAAAAGGUCUUAAAAAGCAUUACAUUUUACUUUUGAAACGGUGCAAGAACCCUAUCAUUGAAUGGUCAUGUCGAAGGGCCACUAUGACUUUCGAUGCUCUUUAAGGUGCUGUAGAGUUGACGGGAAUUGUGCCCUUUGGGUUUCUGUGUCGGUGCAGUGGUUUUAGUAGCUGAUACCGUCAUGGUUCUAUACACUCAAUAAAAAUGAUUCAAGCCCUUCUUGGAUGUGAUGAGUUGUUUGUGUUGUAUCAAAUACAUUCAUUAAAUGAGGACCACCCUUUGCGCAUGCGCCACAUUUUGCGCUUUCAGCGUCGUUCUGCCUUUUUUGCUGACUGAAAUUGCAACAUAAUUUUGUCUGGCUCGGGUGAAAAUCCGUUAUUUGGUAAGUAACUGUUUUUUGUUGUAGUGUAUAACAUAACUCUCUGUUAAAUAACGCUUGCACACAAGUUGUGAAUCGUUCUUAAAAGUUAAACUAGGGAAAUUCUCCAUUUCCAUGUCAGCAUUCAAGCUAACGUUAGUUAGCUGAGCUCGUUAGCAUCAUGACCAGAG